rnacentral:lncRNA from 1 species
GAUUGUCCUAGCUAUAUAACUAGUUAUAACCAUUUUACACGUUCAUGUCAAGAUUUGUGUUUCUGUAUAUUCCCUUUUUAUUGUACUUGCUUUAGAAAUCAGUAUAAGAUCAUAUUUCACAGCAGAAACUUGCGGGAUAGGCAGUUUAGAAGUGUUAUGGAGGAAGAGGUGUGUUUUCCGAUAGCUUGAACGGUCCGGACGUCAGAAAUCUAAAGGGGUAACUGUUUGAAGACCGGCAAAUUUGUAGUUUAAUGAGUCAACAAAAUGACAAAUGUCUACGGUAAUAGUGGGUGCUCGAUAGAUAUGUGUGUCAAAUGACUUAUCCCAAUCACACGCUUCGAGUCAAAGUGUUUGACUUUUAGCAUCUUCCUCUCUUCUAGACAGUUUUUCAAAGAUGUCACUCAAGUAUAGCUCCAAAGACUGUUUUUCAAUGUCUUUGUUCGUUUUAUGGUUGUUUGUUACUUUUCUUUAUGAAUUUGGGCAGUUAAAAGGGAAACACUCCAUGUUGUGUUGGCUAAUGGCCAUGUUGCUGCUAAGAUGAUGGAGCGUCAAAGACAGGUCUUCUCUCAAAGGAUACAUAUUAUAGCUCCUUAACACUUACCUGUUUAAGUAAUUAAUUCUUGAAGUGGCUUACGUAUUACCAGCUCAUAUUAUAGC